rnacentral:rRNA from 1 species
UUUAUCUAUGAGUCUUGACUAAAUCAUGUGCCAGCCGUCGCGGUAAGACAUGGAAGACAAGCGUUAUUCAUCUUGAAUAGGUAUAUAGGGUACUCAGACAGUUAAUUAAGCCUAAAUAAGGGACUGAUUCAACUAGAGUUUUAUAGAAGAAGGCUAGAACGGUAUGUGGAGAGAUAAAAUAUAUUGAUACAUACUAAAAUCUGACAACGGCGAAGGCAACCUUUUAUGUAAAAACUGACGUUAAAGGACGAAGGCUACAAAAAAUUAAUAGGAUUAGAUACCCUAGUAUUCGUAGCAGUAAAUGAUGAAUGUCAUAGGUAAGUAGUAUUAUUUACGUAUAAAUGAAAGUGUAAGCAUUCCACCUUAAGAGUAACACGGCAACGUAGGAAUUGAAAUCAUUAGACCGUUUCUGAAACCAGUAGUGAAGUAUGUUAGUUAAUUUGAUGACCCACAAAGAACCUUACCACAAUUUGAAUGUUAAUUCACAGGAGUUGCACGGCUGUCUUCAGUUGAUAUCGUGAGAUUUUGGUUAGCUCCAUUUAAUCAACGUAAACCCUUACUUUAAUUUAUACAUAAAGUAGUUCUCCAUUAUAUUGG